rfam:Picea glauca, whole genome shotgun sequence.
AUGUACAUGCCUAAAACAUAACGUUAAUGCAUCAUAUCCCAUUCUAACUUUGCAGUUAAUCAUGCUCAGGAUAGAGUAGCACUGAGAUGGGUGACCGCCCGGGAAGUCCUAGUGUUGUACAUG